rnacentral:rRNA from 1 species
UGCCAGCCGCCGCGGUAAUACGGAGGGUGCAAGCGUUGUCCGGAUUUAUUGGGUUUAAAGGGUGCGUAGGUGGCUAAUUAAGUCAGUGGUGAAAUCCUACAGCUUAACUGUAGAGGUGCCAUUGAAACUGAUUAGCUUGAGUAUGGACGAGGUAGGCGGAAUUUGUGGUGUAGCGGUGAAAUGCAUAGAUACCACAAAGAACACCGAUAGCGAAGGCAGCUUACUGGACCAUAACUGACACUGAGGCACGAAAGCGUGGGGAGCGAACAGGAUUAGAUA